rnacentral:rRNA from 1 species
UCGAGAAUUUUUCUCAAUGGGCGAAAGCCUGAAGGAGCGACGCCGCGUGGGGGAUGAAUGGCUUCGGCCCGUAAACCCCUGUCAUUUGUGAACAAGUUGUUUCACUUAACAUGUGAAGCAUUGAUAGUAACAGAAGAGGAAGGGACGGCUAACUCUGUGCCAGCAGCCGCGGUAAUACAGAGGUCCCAAGCGUUGUUCGGAUUCACUGGGCGUAAAGGGUGCGUAGGCGGUUGGAUAAGUCUGACGUGAAAUCUCCGGGCCUAACCCGGAAACUGCGUUGGAUACUGUCCGGCUGGAGGAAUGGAGGGGAGACUGGAAUACUUGGUGUAGCAGUGAAAUGCGUAGAUAUCAAGUGGAACACCAGUGGCGAAGGCGAGUCUCUGGACAUUUCCUGACGCUGAGGCACGAAAGCCAGGGGAGCAAACGGGAUUAGAUACCCCCGUAGUCC